UGGGGAAUUUUGGACGAUGGGGGAAACCCUGAUCCAGCCAUCCCGCGUGUGCGAUGAAGGCCUUCGGGUUGUAAAGCACUUUUGGCAGGAAAGAAACGUCGCGGGUUAAUACCCCGCGAAACUGACGGUACCUGCAGAAUAAGCACCGGCUAACUACGUGCCAGCAGCCGCGGUAAUACGUAGGGUGCAAGCGUUAAUCGGAAUUACUGGGCGUAAAGCGUGCGCAGGCGGUUCGGAAAGAAAGAUGUGAAAUCCCAGAGCUUAACUUUGGAACUGCAUUUUUAACUACCGGGCUAGAGUGUGUCAGAGGGAGGUGGAAUUCCGCGUGUAGCAGUGAAAUGCGUAGAUAUGCGGAGGAACACCGAUGGCGAAGGCAGCCUCCUGGGAUAACACUGACGCUCAUGCACGAAAGCGUGGGGAGCAAACAGGAUUAGAUACCCUGGUAGUCCACGCCCUAAACGAUGUCAACUAGCUGUUGGGGCCUUCGGGCCUUGGUAGCGCAGCUAACGCGUGAAGUUGACCGCCUGGGGAGUACGGUCGCAAGAUUAAAACUCAAAGGAAUUGACGGGGUCGAUAGC
rnacentral:rRNA from 1 species